rnacentral:rRNA from 1 species
UGGGGAAUUUUGGACAAUGGGCGAAAGCCUGAUCCAGCAAUGCCGCGUGUGUGAAGAAGGCCUUCGGGUUGUAAAGCACUUUUGUCCGGAAAGAAAUGGCUCUGGUUAAUACCUGGGGCUCGAUGACGGUACCGGAAGAAUAAGGACCGGCUAACUACGUGCCAGCAGCCGCGGUAAUACGUAGGGUCCAAGCGUUAAUCGGAAUUACUGGGCGUAAAGCGUGCGCAGGCGGUUGUGCAAGACCGAUGUGAAAUCCCCGAGCUUAACUUGGGAAUUGCAUUGGUGACUGCACGGCUAGAGUGUGUCAGAGGGGGGUAGAAUUCCACGUGUAGCAGUGAAAUGCGUAGAGAUGUGGAGGAAUACCGAUGGCGAAGGCAGCCCCCUGGGAUAACACUGACGCUCAUGCACGAAAGCGUGGGGAGCAAACGGGAUUAGAUACCCUGGUAGUCCACGCCCUAAACGAUGUCAACUAGUUGUUGGGGAUUCAUUUCCUUGAGUAACGUAGCUAACGCGUGAAGUUGACC